rnacentral:rRNA from 1 species
AUUGAACGCUGGCGGCAGGCCUAACACAUGCAAGUCGAGCGGAUGAAGAGAGCUUGCUCUCUGAUUUAGCGGCGGACGGGUGAGUAAUGCCUAGGAAUCCGCCUGGUAGUGGGGGAUAACGUUCCGAAAGGAACGCUAAUACCGCAUACGUCCUACGGGAGAAAGUGGGGGAUCUUCGGACCUCACGCUAUCAGAUGAGCCUAGGUCGGAUUAGCUAGUUGGUGAGGUAAUGGCUCACCAAGGCGACGAUCCGUAACUGGUCUGAGAGGAUGAUCAGUCACACUGGAACUGAGACACGGUCCAGACUCCUACGGGAGGCAGCAGUGGGGAAUAUUGGACAAUGGGCGAAAGCCUGAUCCAGCCAUGCCGCGUGUGUGAAGAAGGUCUUCGGAUUGUAAAGCACUUUAAGUUGGGAGGAAGGGUUGUAGAUUAAUACUCUGCAAUUUUGACGUUACCGACAGAAUAAGCACCGGCUAACUUCGUGCCAGCCGCCGCCGUAA